CAGGACAGGAAAAAUCAUCAAACUCUGCACAUCCUUGCCAAAAGCUUCGGUGUUUAAGAGGCUUCAGCACCAGGGAUCUUUGCUGGAGGGCUCCUGGUCCUGCCCAUGCUGUGGGGCUGUCCCUGCUGGAGCGCCCUGGUCCCUGCUGUGCCCAAGGCCUGAGACACAGAGAGCCCUGUCCAGAGUGGCCUUUGCCAUCUUGUCAGGAACGUGGCAGCAGCCCUGGGAGCAGGCUGGAGGAGAAAACCUCACAGCAGAGGCAGUUUGCAGUGGAGGCCAGAGCUGUGUUUGGAGCAGAGAAUGCUGAGAGCUGCAUCUGCCUGUGCUGUGCCCCAGCCACACGGAACAGCCUGGGAAAAGGGGCUGGGGGAAAUUCCUGAUUCCCCAGUGAGAACACGAACUCACAGCCACUGAGGCCUGACAGUCCCCUCCAGCAGGAGCUCAGCACACGUCCACAGAGCAGCUGGAGGGAAGAGAGAAGAGGAUCCUUGUGGGAUGAGACUGCAAAGAACAAGGAGAGGAGCGGCCUCGAGCUGGAGAAGGGCAAAGGGACCACUGUGCUGUCACCAGGACACCUGUGAGGGACAGAACAGACACUUGGAGGCCACAUGGAGGGCUCCAGUUGAUGUUCCAAAGCAGGAGAAGGCAGUGGCUGGAUGCCCUCCCAGCCCGUGCUGAGGCAGCCCUGUGCCCAGCUUGGGACACCUCUCCCUGCAGAAGCUCAGCUCCUUUCAAGCCUCAGCAGUGGCCUCCACAAGUUCUUCUCCCUCAGCAAAGGGACACACAUCCCUGUCUUCAGUGCACCUCCAGUGGGACUCACCUGUGACAGCUUUCCAUGACUUCUGCACCUCAGCUGGCUCCCUGAAAAACUCCAGACCUCAUCCCAAACCUCGGAUUUUCAGGUAAUGCCAGCGGCUCCUUGGGGUCCUUCUGGGCUGGAGCAUCUCCAUGUCCUGGUCAGAGCAGCCACGGUGCAGGCAGUGCCCUGCAGAUCCCAAGGACAAGAGGUGCUGCUGCCUUUCGGGGGCUCCUGGCCUCCCCC